GGGGGGAGGCCGGAUCUUGGGCUGUGUCCUGGCGCCCUGUGCUGCGGGGCCUGCGCUGUGGGAUUCCCGCUGCCCGAGCCCCUCCGAGCUGCUC
rnacentral:pre_miRNA from 1 species